rnacentral:rRNA from 1 species
GAUGAACGCUGGCGGCGUGCCUAAUACAUGCAAGUCGAGCGAACAGACGAGGAGCUUGCUCCUCUGACGUUAGCGGCGGACGGGUGAGUAACACGUGGAUAACCUACCUAUAAGACUGGGAUAACUUCGGGAAACCGGAGCUAAUACCGGAUAAUAUAUUGAACCGCAUGGUUCAAUAGUGAAAGACGGUUUUGCUGUCACUUAUAGAUGGAUCCGCGCCGCAUUAGCUAGUUGGUAAGGUAACGGCUUACCAAGGCAACGAUGCGUAGCCGACCUGAGAGGGUGAUCGGCCACACUGGAACUGAGACACGGUCCAGACUCCUACGGGAGGCAGCAGUAGGGAAUCUUCCGCAAUAGGCGAAAGCCUGACGGAGCAACGCCGCGUGAGUGAUGAAGGUCUUCGGAUCGUAAAACUCUGUUAUUAGGGAAGAACAAACGUGUAAGUAACUAUGCACGUCUUGACGGUACCUAAUCAGAAAGCCACGGCUAACUACGUG